rnacentral:lncRNA from 1 species
AAACAGGAGAAAUCGCCCUAAUCACUUUGUUGGUACUAGGGAAACUGAAAGGUAUUUUUAUUUUUAUUUUGUAGUCUAUAUUUGCCAGCAGGUGGCAGGAGCAAUUUAGAGAAGGACAAGGAAGCAAGAAGUGACACUGAUGGACAAUAUAGCAUCUUGAUAAAGGUGCCUAGGAAGUGUCCCCUCCUCUAGAUGCUCUCCUUUCCCCUCCUUGGAGACUUCCAUAGUGUACCUAUCUACACUUCCCUCAUGUUCCCCUUCUGUCCCUUCUUCUCUUGACAUCUCUGACUUGACCAGUAAUCCUCACUUCACCAGGUGUCCCCAACACAUCAGUUGUCCCCACCUCUUUGAGAGUUCCUACCACACCUGGAAUCCCUACUGCAUCAGGUCUCUGGACUUCACCAGGCAUCCCAACUUACCAAAUAUCUCCACCAUACAAGUGUCCCUCCUCGGAAGGUGUCCUCAAUUUCAGCAGUACCCCUACUUAGUUGUCCCCACUUGAUCAGAUCCCAACUAUCCUCAGGGAACUAUAGGGAGUACUGAGAACAUGAUGGGAGAUGCCACAUCCAUAGAUCACCCAAAGUUACCACACAGGCCACACAAUUAACCAGGAAUAAGGCCCCGCAACAAUAGGACCAGCCUUUUCCAGUGUAGGGGAGGGCGUUCCUCAAAAGCAGCUAGGUCCUCUGCCCUCUGAAGAUGAUAGAGGCCAUCUCACAUGCAGAGUGACUUCUGGAUUUACAGGGCAUCUGAGGGACAGCACCCUCACUUGCCAGUAAAUGCUCCUACUCCAGAUACAAACAUCAUGUGGCCUCUGCAGCUGAGACUAUGGCCACAGCUGCCUUUUUAGAAUCCCUUGCCCAAAUUUCAGGGCUUUGAGGUUUUAUGGAAUCUCUUUAAGAUUUUAAUGAACUGGCUAAAUGCCAGCCCCUCAUAAGGACAUGUUGCCAUUUCUACCUGCAUUAGUUACUGCUGGUAUUGACAUUUGUUGACCCAAUGUACCAAUAAACCAUUAAGUGUCAACUAAAAGUCUGAGCAAGGCUGACCUCUGACCUUUGUCCAGUCUAGGGACCUGGCUGUGCCUCUGCUGUGCUCUCACCGCACUGGGAGUGUCAGAUAGGUCAAAAGUGGUAUCAGGCUGUGGCUGUUGUGUCCCCACUUCAUGACCUUUAGAAAACUCCUCCCUAGUGUUUACAAUGACCUCAGCUGUGGGACUGGGGAUCUGGGGCUUCUUGCUCUGCUGAGUUGCUCAUACG